AUUCUACAAUCUCCAACAAGUUAGGAGGUAGGUAGUAGGUAUACACAAAAGUGAAAUCCCUCGGUAACAGCCGGGUCUCUGUUGUUUCUAAGUGCCUUUUAGUCGAAAAAUGUGAACAGUGUGUUUUCGGUGAUCCGCGAGUGAAUUUAUCAAGUGUAUUUUGGAGUUUUUCAAAUCGAAAACCGGUUUGGGUUUCCCUUCUUACUCACCAUUGGGAUCUCUUAUAACGACACAAUAAUAACAAUAAUCUCGAGUUUACAUCAGUGUAUUUCUAUCGACUAGUGAAACCAUCAACAUGGAGCUACUGAAAUUUAUCUAAUAUGACAUCUAUAGCGGCCUGUUUGAUUCCUGAGGAUAAAGGGCACCUGAAAGCCGAACUACAACACUUGAGACGCAAAGGA